UUGAACUUAUCUUUUAUCGGAGAGUUUGAUCCUGGCUCAGGACGAACGCUGGCGGCGUGCCUAAUACAUGCAAGUCGAGCGAAGAGAUGGGAGCUUGCUCCCUGAUCUU
rnacentral:rRNA from 1 species